rnacentral:lncRNA from 1 species
ACAGACAUGGAUAGAAACGAGAUUUUGUAUUCAGCUUCAAAAUGAAUGCCAUUUUGACUGUUGUAGAACUUUAUGACAAAAUCCUUAGAACGGAUCGUCACCUCCUAGAACGGAUCGUCACCUCCUUGAGUAGCCUGAGAGUUCAGGAACUGAAUGACAAUCAGGACUUCUGUUUUCUUUUUUUUUUCCUUUUCCUGUAAGGGAUCUACUGUGUUUUCUCUUUUAUGCCAAUUUUGAGGUUUCCAAAUGUUUUAGUUCACUGCUUAUAAAAUUAAGAUAAUGCAUUUCAUGGAGGUAAGAGGGAAAAAAAAACGAUUACUUCGUUCUUAAGAUGUUC